rnacentral:rRNA from 1 species
GAUGAACGCUGGCUACAGGCUUAACACAUGCAAGUCGAGGGGAAACGACGGGGAAGCUUGCUUCCCCGGGCGUCGACCGGCGCACGGGUGAGUAACGCGUAUCCAACCUGCCUCUGACUGAGGGAUAACCCGUCGAAAGUCGGCCUAAUACCUCAUGGCAUCGUCUGCGGGCAUCCAACGACGAUUAAAGAUUUCAUCGGUCAGAGAUGGGGAUGCGUCUGAUUAGCUUGUUGGCGGGGUAACAGCCCACCAAGGCGACGAUCAGUAGGGGUUCUGAGAGGAAGGUCCCCCACAUUGGAACUGAGACACGGUCCAAACUCCUACGGGAGGCAGCGGUGAGGAAUAUUGGUCAAUGGGCGAGAGCCUGAACCAGCCAAGUAGCGUGCAGGAUGACGGCCCUAUGGGUUGUAAACUGCUUUUAUGCGGGGAUAAAGUGAGGGACGUGUCCUUCAUUGCAGGUACCGCAUGAAUAAGGACCGGCUAAUUCCGUG